CCUACGGGAGGCAGCAGUGAGGAAUAUUGGUCAAUGGGCGCGAGCCUGAACCAGCCAAGUCGCGUGAGGGAAGACGGUCCUAUGGAUUGUAAACCUCUUUUGUCGGGGGGCAAAAGACGCCACACGUGGCGUUCCGAGAGUACCCGAAGAAAAAGCAUCGGCUAACUCCGUGCCAGCAGCCGCGGUAAUACGGAGGAUGCGAGCGUUAUCCGGAUUUAUUGGGUUUAAGGGGUGCGCAGGCGGAAGAUUAAGUCAGCGGUAAAAUUGAGAGGCUCAACCUCUUCGAGCCGUUGAAACUGGUUGUCUUGAGUGAGCGAAAAGUAUGCGGAAUGCGUGGUGUAGCGGUGAAAUGCAUAGAUAUCACGCAGAACUCCGAUUGCGAAGGCAGCAUACCGGCGCUCAACUGACGCUCAUGCACGAAAGUGUGGGUAUCGAACAGGAUUAGAUACCCGAGUAGUC
rnacentral:rRNA from 1 species